UAAAAUAUAUUAAUCUUAUUAUAUUGUUGUUAAUAUAAAUAAAUUUCACAGCACUCUUUUAACUGUGUGAAAUAAUUAUGAUUAGUGCGCUACCGAACCCUGAACAAAGAAACAGAAGAGAUGUAAUGGAUACAAUGAAACAUGCUUGGGACGAGAUGGUGAGGACUUUCAAUGACGCUGGGGAUGCUGUAGUUAACGUGUUCAAACCAACAGAGAAAAACGUUUUAGACAAAAUGGCGGAUGGAAUAAAGGGACUUACUAAUUA